rnacentral:rRNA from 1 species
GACGAACGCUGGCGGCGUGCCUAAUACAUGCAAGUAGAACGCUGAAGGAGGAGCUUGCUCUUCUGGAUGAGUUGCGAACGGGUGAGUAACGCGUAGGUAACCUGCCUGGUAGCGGGGGAUAACUAUUGGAAACGAUAGCUAAUACCGCAUAACAGUAGAUGUUGCAUGACAUUUACUUAAAAGGUGCAAUUGCAUCACUACCAGAUGGACCUGCGUUGUAUUAGCAAGUUGGUGGGGUAACGGCUCACCAAGGCGACGAUACAUAGCCGACCUGAGAGGGGGACAGGCCACACUGGGACUGAGACACGGCCCAGCCUCCUACGGGAGGCAGCUGUAGGGAAUCUUCGGCAAUGGACGGAAGUCUGACCGAGCAACGCCGCGUGAGUGAAGAAGGUUUUCGGAUCGUAAGCUCUGUUGUAAGAGAAGAACGAGUGUGAGAGUGGAAAGUUCACACUGUGACGGUAUCUUACCAGAAAGGGACGGCUAACUACGUG